GACGAACGCUGGCGGCGUGCCUAAUACAUGCAAGUAGAACGCUGAAGGAGGAGCUUGCUUCUCUGGAUGAGUUGCGAACGGGUGAGUAACGCGUAGGUAACCUGCCUGGUAGCGGGGGAUAACUAUUGGAAACGAUAGCUAAUACCGCAUAACAGUAGAUAUCGCAUGAUAUCUACUUGAAAGGUGCAAUUGCAUCACUACCAGAUGGACCUGCGUUGUAUUAGCUAGUUGGUGAGGUAACGGCUCACCAAGGCGACGAUACAUAGCCGACCUGAGAGGGUGAUCGGCCACACUGGGACUGAGACACGGCCCAGACUCCUACGGGAGGCAGCAGUAGGGAAUCGUCGGCAAUGGACGGAAGUCUGACCGAGCAACGCCGCGUGAGUGAAGAAGGUUGUCGGAUCGUAAAGCUCUGUUGUAAGAGAAGAACGAGUGUGAGAGUGGAAAGUUCACACUGUGACGGUAUCUUACCAGAAAGGGACGGCUAACUACGUG
rnacentral:rRNA from 1 species